rnacentral:lncRNA from 1 species
GGUAUUGUAUCUUUGAUUUUCUCUCCCCUCCUUUUUUUUUCCCUUCUCUCUGUACAUGUAUUUGUAAUUUGUAUGUAUAGACGUUCGAACCCAGUGAAUUUACAAGGUUAAUUUCUUCAUUUCACUGUCAUGCUCGCUGGAUUUUACAGAAGAGUUUCGAUUCAGCGGAUUUAAUUGUACUUGUUUAUUUUUUUCCAUCUUAGUUUUUGUAAUUAUUGUUUUGUUUUCAAAUUUGUUCUUAUGCAUAUAGUUAAAAUGUGUUCAUACAUUGAAAUUUGUAGUUUCAUGAGUCGAAAUUGGCUGUUCUUCAGCUAUUGAAAUUCAUUCAGAUCCGUGGUAGCUCGGGCUACUCUAGGGCUUUUGAUUUCGACAUUGAUCCACUUUAUUAAAAACUGUAAGAUGUAGAUUAGAAAUGUUUGUUUCUUUGGGGUCUCUUUUGUUAUUGUCUGAAUAUGUUUGUUGCAUCAUGUAAUACCCAUUUAUAUCAGAUUUGGACUUUUAAUUACUGUUCCUUAUUUUCCUUAUCAGUGGGCUUUGGAAUUUUUUUCUUCUUUUUGGAACUUCUAUGAAAUGGAAAGAACUGAAACUGUUACUUAAAAAAAUUAGAAGAUGUUACUUUGAUUUUCUUUUUGGCCUAGAACCCCACUUCCUUACAAUGUACCUAGCAUCAUAUGCUGCAGUAUCCUUGGAAUUAUUUUUCCCAUUAAAUUGUUCAACUGAGUUGCCAAGCCAUCAUAAAAGUAAAUGCUCAAAUGUUGUUUUUGUAAGUAUUUAUGAGUCACAUACUCACUUCGGCUAGUAGGACCUGGAUAAUACAUGCAGAUAGAAACAGAACAUUGUGUCGGAUACUUGGACGUUGACUUCCACUGAAGUAGCUGUUUUAGACAGACAACAUAGGAACACAGUAUUUUGGCAGUACAUGUAUAAGCUAUCAUGUCAUUUUGUUAUAAUUUAAGAACUUAAGGUCCUCGUAUACUUGCUAGAUAUUAAUUACAACAAUUUAGGAAUUCACCUAAAAUCGUUUUUGAUUUUGCUUUGUACAUAGGCAUAUCUUAUUACUCUAUCC